UACGAAGGGGGCGAGCGUUGUUCGGAAUCACUGGGCGUAAAGGGCGCGUAGGCGGCCCUUCUUGUCGCGUGUGAAAGCCCCGGGCUCAACCUGGGAAUGGCGCGCGAGACGGGGGGGCUGGAGUUCGGGAGAGGAGCGUGGAAUUCCCAGUGUAGAGGUGAAAUUCGUAGAUAUUGGGAAGAACACCGGUGGCGAAGGCGGCGCUCUGGACCGAGACUGACGCUGAGGCGCGAAAGCCAGGGGAGCAAACGGG
rnacentral:rRNA from 1 species